ensembl:lincRNA
CCAGGUAGAGGAGAGAAGGGAGCUCCUGCCCGGGUGGGUGGAGCUCCCGGGAUAGACUGGGACCCAGGGUCUCCCGGGACGGGACUCUCGCCUCAGCUCCCUCCCGAGAAGUGCGUUUCAGCCGUUUCCUCCUGGCUUUCCCGAGCUGCCCCGCUUUAUGCAUGGACUCCGUGUGCCCUUCCUGGGAACCGGGUCCCUCGUGUGCUCAGAGGGUCAUGGUCGGUGUCCUGCGGGAGAAUCGAUCCCCUGAUGUGCGGAAACAUCGUCUUCAGUUUGAUGCAAAUUAAAAAAAAAAAAAAAAAGGACAAAGAAAGAGGAUCUUUUACGGAAGGAAAAGGUUAUGCAGGAUUUGUUCCUCUACCCAAGAAAUGGUCAGGAUCACGGUGCAUUGGCCCCUUCCUCGCGUCCCGACCUGCAUCCCACCAGGAGGGCUUUGCUCAGAGACCCACGUUGCCUUUGUUGAUAACCCCACUGCAGCUGCCCUGCCGUGUUAGCAUCUGCCUUUUUACUACAUUGUGCUGUCCUAAUCAAGUGGAUUCAGUCCACUUGAAUAUAGGAAGAAUCAUGGAAAUAUAACGUUAUGAAAACAAUACAAUAAAUUAUUCAUGGCAAAAACAAUUACAAGUGUAGUGGAUAUUCGUCAUUUAAUGAAGGAAUUAUGGUCCUGUGAGAAAAGCUCACUAACUGAAUUGGUUGCUAAAUGAGAAACUACAGUGUGUACAUUUCAAUAUUCAAAACAAAGUAAAUUUCAAUUUGCUGAUUGCUUUAUUUGCAUAACUUUGGGAUCCAGUACUACAAAGAAAAAUGAAAUAAAGUUGAAAUUAUCUACUUGCAGUACAAUCAGCAAAAAUUACUGUCCUGAGAAGUCAUAAAUCCAAGUGGUGGAUUGCAUGUCUAAAGAGCAAGCCUCAGUCUUGGGUCCAAACAGUCAGUAAACAGGUAGUCAUUCACUGAGGACUGUGUCUAGUGGAUACUAAAGAACGUAGACUUUUUUUUUUUCUUCUUUUUAUGAGACUGACCUAGAACUCAGUAUGUAGCCGUUCCUGGUCUCGAACUCACAGUGAUCCUCCUGCCUCAGCCUCCCACGUGCUGGGAUUGCAGACAUUCGCCACCAUGCCCGGCCAAAAAAUGGGUUAUUCAUGAGGUGUCAAAGAAGCUCAGCAUGAUACCUGUUAUAAAUGGUGCAUCUGAGACCACUUGACUGAGACAGGUUUUUGUGUGAAAAAGAAGUUUAUUCCGGUGAACAGAGACUAAAAAAACAUCAGGGGCUAAAAUCAGGAAUAGAUUCCAGCAGCCUGCUGGGAAAGCUGAGUUUUUUAACAUCCAUGUGUGGAUGGGCUCACGUUGGGCAAAAUAAAUAGCAGCAGCAAGCUGGGAGGGACUUCAUCCUUGGGCAGUUACGCUAACAUGGAGAGAGAGCCAACUGAUCAAGGAAUUAGGAUAUAACUACUGAAAAGGGAAAAAAGUCUUGAAAAGGGGAGCUAUGAUCACAAGUAUUUAUGACAGAGGACUACCCAGCUAACAUACAGAGCUAGGCUGCCUCCCCAGCCCCCAGCACCCUGGGCCUUCAUGGGAGCCAACCAGAGAGGACUGCCCAGCCGUGCAGAUGCAACCUGUAGCGACCCCUCCUGUGCUCUCAGGCCUCUUGGUUUUCCUGCUACCUGGAUCCACACUGCAGAGGCACAGGUGGUCAUAAAGGACAUUGUACUGAGCUCCAGAACAUAGAAUGGGAGCGAACCACUGCAAUAAAGGCACAUCAGAUCUCCGUAGUUGGUAAAUCCAAAGAAUCACCACCUCCCAUAAGAACUGGACCAUCUGCAGGAGGGCAGCUGGAACCUGCUGUAGAGCCUGACAGAGUUUAACCCGGCAGGAGGUCCAGAGCUCAACUUGGGCCUUGCAGCCCGAAUUCAUCCUGACUCUCGGGGGUCUGCCGUUGGCUUGCUGAGACUGACUGACUUAGUUCUGCACUGUGCCCACAUUGUCAGUUGUGACAGCAGAUACACCCUGAAUGGGGCCCUUCAAUUUUUUUGCUUAUUUUUAUUUAUUUAUUUAUUUUGGAACUGGGGAUUGAACUCAGGUCCUUGCACUUGCGAGGUAGUCACCAGAAUGACGGAGCUAAAUCCCCAGCACUCAUUUUUAAUUUUUAUUUCUAAAUUUUUAUUUGUUCUCACUCUUCAAAUUCUUCCAUUUUCUUAUUUUUCCCCUCAAUCUCUUGCUCCUCCACAUUGUCUUCAUCUCCCUUUUUGUUCCUCUUCCUGCCCUAAUUCGGAUUUUUUUUCAUUCUCUCAAAUGUCUUUAGUUUCAAAGGAAAGUGAGUGCAAUGUAUAGCUUUCCUAUUACUGUUGUUCUAUUCUUGUCUUUCAUCUAGCACUAUCUUUCCCUCUUGUCUUCAACAGUAUCCUAGGGUUUGUGUGAUCAACCUGUGCCUUCCGGCUUCACUUGAAACCUUCUCAUAUCUCUCUAACUAUUCCUCACCUCCCACCUCCGUCUAAUUCCCCACCCUGAAGGGCAAAGUUGCUAUACUGAAGAGUUUAUUUACUGUAAGUGUAUUUUGGGCUGGUCCUCAAUUUUGACUGAAUUCACAUGGUUAAAGGUGAUAGAUUAAUAACUACCACAAAUUGUCAAUUUCUAAGCUGUGCUUGAUGCUGCUGUGUUGCUGAUUGUAUCAAUUGGGUUAAAGGGUUGUGAUUAAUUUAAUCGGUUGUCCUUCCUGAUAUUAUGAAAAGGAGAGUGUCUCUGAGUCAUUAGAGACUCAAAACCUAAAGAGCAGCUGUAUCAGGAAGAUCGAGGUACUAACGCAGGAAUUAAACCAAGGACAGACCAACAACAAAAAUAAAAAUAAGAAAACACUUCAGCAAGGCACAGAUAUAGACUCCUAAUUCACCAAUGGCAAAUUCUGUGGGAAACGAGGUGGAAAAGUCUGACAAUGAGCCACCACGACACCCUGAAUUCAUAGCACAGGAAGUAACAAAACAGAUCAAUCAGGCUCUAGAAAAACUCGAAAUAAUUUCUCAGAUAACUAGAGAUGGUGAGCACAAUGAAAGACAUGAUUAGAGAGACUCCAGAACAGAAACAGACCCCCUCCCCAAAAAAGAUGAGUUCAGGACCACGAUAGAAGC